CCCUGUUGUACUCUGUGAUGUCACAGUGUAGUAGUGACAACUGCUCUUGGUGUGUUUGUUCAGUGCCAUGGACACGUUGGCAACACUGAGCAGGUUACUUGGGAGAGAGGACAGAGAGCACAGAGACACCAGAGAGGAGCAGACGGGUGCUGGCCUUCAGACGCAUGAUAAACAGCAAGAGAUACGUGAUGGUGGCAGGGUGCAGUGAGCUCUGGGCAAAACCUGGGAGCUUCCUGGAGGAGGUGGGCUGGAGCUGGGCUUUCCAGAAAUGGGAAUCAGGAGCUGGGUCCUCUGAGAAGCAACUGGACUUCUGUCCUUGCCAUAGUUGCAGAAAGUCAACUUAUCCAGAACAUGAGUUCAUUUAUCUCAGAAAUCAAGAGCUGGGAAGGGCACAGAUGUUUGCUGAGAGCUCCUGGCUUUUAUCCUUAUUGUUGGGCGAAGAAGCCAUGAAGAAGGGACAGGUUAGUGAAGUGGCCUCAACUCAGGGCAGGAAAUCACUGUACUUCCUGCCCAGUGGAUUCCUUUAGGAGCAGUGGCUAUCUGACACUAAUAAGAGGACAAGACAACUGCUCUGUCCAAGUCUUAUGACCUUAGGUUUCUGAGUCACCAGAUUUGGGUGGCAGACAGUUCUUGAGUGCAGAAAGCACUGGGUGAGCCAGUGGCCAGCACAAAGACUUGCUCUUAGCUGUCACCUCUGGAUCUCUGGGCUGUGAAUGACUCAUGAGUGUAGUGACCAUGGUAUACCUCUACAUGGCUGCUCUGUCUACAACCAUGUGCAGUGUGGCCUAGACAGGAAUCAGGGCAUCUAUAUCAUGUGAACACAUGUAGACUUUGCCAUGUGUUUCUCUGAAAGCACAUUCUUCAAUGUUCUGAAGCCAAGUUAGAGCCGAUGCAGCUGUGAAUAUGUCUGAGGAGGCUGCGGCCUUGGUCUCUUGAAGCAUGUGCUAUGGGAGCCAGAGGAAACCAUGUCCACCUCUCUACAGACCUAUAUGAAAAUUGACCUCCACAGCCUGAGUUUUCAGAAGCAUCCAGGGGUUCCUCAGAAGUCAUCUGUACCUCCCCCCCUCACUGAAGGGCAGCGGCACAUGAAGAAGGUAGAGAAAUGAUCCCUCAGCUACAGAAGACGACCUGUGAGAGGAAUGAGCUGUGUGGUUUCCUGGCCCAUUAUACAAAGAUUUGAACAACAGGAUCACUUUCAGGAAGCUCAGAUAUUCACCAUGGCAGUCAUUCAUCGCUAUGAAGAAAUGCAUUGGGUGCAUAGUCAUAUGUCCUUCGUGGCUUCGGUCUGAAUGGGAAAGAGUGUGCUAUUGAAGGCCAGUAGUCAGAGUUGGGAUCUUUGAGGAGUUGACCUGCUGAGCUUGCUUUGCAACUCAAUCCAGCUGAAACAAAGGAUGGGUCUGUGGGCUUUCCCUAUAUAUCCCAGUGCUAAAUAUUAAACUUUGAGCCUUGAU